GAUGAACGCUAGCGGCAGGCCUAAUACAUGCAAGUCGAACGGUGUCCUCGGACAUAGUGGCGCACGAGUGCGUAACACGUAUGCAACCUACCUUACAUUGGGGGAUAGCCUUUCGAAAGGGAGAUUAAUACCGCAUAAGACAGUAGCUGGGCAUCCAGCAGCUGUUAAAGAUUUAUCGAUGUAAGCUGGGCAUGCGUCCAAUUAGCUAGUUGGUGAGGUAACGGCUCACCAAGGCAAUGAUUGGUAGGGGAACUGAGAGGUCAAUCCCCCACACUGACACUGAGAUACGGGCCAGACUCCUACGGGAGGCAGCAGUAGGGAAUAUUGGGCAAUGGACGCAAGUCUGACCCAGCCAUGCCGCGUGCAGGAUGAAGGCGUUAUGCGUUGUAAACUGCUUUUAUACAGGAAGAAACGACUCUUGCGAGAGGCAUUGACGGUACUGUAUGAAUAAGCACCGGCUAACUCCGUGCCAGCCGCCGCGGUAACAC
rnacentral:rRNA from 1 species